GAACCAAAAACUGACAAAAAGGUGUCUCUGCAGAACAGUAGACGGUGCUGAGUGAUGGUCUUCCAAAUGACCAUACUGUUUGCACCGUGUAAACUUCAUUUGCUUUUCUCUUUCUUUGCCUUUCGUAUCCUAUUGUCUCUCCGGAACAAACCUACCAUCAACAACAUUUUUCUUUUCACUAUUUCUUCCUUUUACUUUUUCAAUCGUUUUUCUGGUUUUUGAGAUCUUAAUGGCUAGACCGUUUGAGUUGCUGAAGAAUAUCAAUGAUACGAAGGAGCUUUGGAAAGUGGUUGUUCGUAUCUAUCACAAAUGGAGUGUUGUUAAUAAGAACAAAGAACAUUUUGAGCGAUUUCAUCUUCAUCUCCAAAACCUUUUUUUUGACAAAACAGAAUUGAUCUUCUAUGGUGAUAUGUUGAAGAUUCGAUCCAUGAUAAUUUCUCGGAGUUGGAUGUGUUAAAAUACCAAUAGUUUCGUUGUGUUAUUGUUUUCUUUCGUUCAGUUACAGGGAAAAAAAGUGAACUUUCAAUGACUAAAGUUGCUAAAAGGGGUUUCACAUGUGUUGUAGGUAUAACGGCAUCAGAAGUUGUUCUUCUCCUUUGAAUAUUCUAUGAGCAAGGAAAUCCAAAUGGUGAGGAUAUUCUUCACUAAUAUCCUUUGUUUCUGUCAGCUUAGCUUAAUUUGAUUGGUCAUUAAUUGUUACAGCUCUAAAGGGAAUUCUAAGUAGCUAUCGGUUUCAAACUACAAAUGAAAUACCGGCUUCAUACACGGAGAGAUCCAGCUGCAAAUGGUAACGAGUCAUGGCGUAGUUCUUGGAGGUUUAUGGAUGUCUCAAGAGGCAUAUAAUGGAUCUUCCAAAGGUUCGGUUUGAAUGUGGAUUUGGACGUGUAAGCUCGGUUUGGACUAUCUAUGUUUUUUCGGUACAGAUUCAAUUACAGGCAGCGAUGCAGGGCUGAAGUUGGCUUCGAAUGGCUUAAGGUAAUGUGUAUGCCCUAUUUUUACUCGACUUGGGUUUGAAUAAAUUGAACAUAAUGUGGGUAUGGUUGAAUUUGCAUUGAUUUGAUUUUGCAGGUUGGAAUUUUAGUGUAUUUGGUAUACACAAAAUAAUGGCAAAUGUAUAUUUAUGGUCUGAAUUGAAUUAUGGCCCAUUUUUGGUAUGUAUGUGCAGGUUUUAUAUGGUGAACUGGUUUUUUUCUCUUUUCGAUAUUUCGUGAUAUACUGGACCGGUAUAGACAUGGUGCAGCAUGUUCUGGUUUUUCUUGCAGAACCGGUUUAGUGAAGGAUUGUUGCGGGUUGUAAUAUGGUUGUAUAAUAUGAUUUAUGAUUUAAAUAUAUGUGUGAAGUUAAUUGCAGGUCUGCUAACUGCUGCCUAUUAUUCUAUAUGGGUGAGUUUAUUAUUUGCUAUAUAAAAAUAUUGUGCAUCUUGAUAUUGCUGGACUAACUGUUUGUGAGGGAUAUGAAGAUAAUUUUCAGAGAUUUAAAACCUUCAAAUAUCCUUCUAGAUGAGCAGUGGAAUGCAAAGCUGCUAGACUUUGGGACCAUCUGAUGGGUUAACUCAUUUCUCAACAGCGGUUGUAGGAACAAUGGGCUAUGUCGCUGUUGAAUAUAUUCUAUGUUUCCUUACUGGAGGUACCCUCAAAGACGUCGCAUCGUAUCGGCUAAAACCUAUGUUUCUUUAUUGUUGUGUACUGUGGUUCGGGUUACUUGGUUGGUCUUGGAAGCUAUGACAUUACUGGUCCUGCUGCUGGUGUUAACUUGAUGGGGUAUGCUAAAAUAGAACAAGUUGCAUCUGAUAUCCACUUCAAGCUUCGCGCUCGUGCUUUCAUUGUUGCAGUAUGGUUAGUUGGUAACUGAUUUUUUGAUCUGAAAUAUUCGCGGUGUUGAUUUUGUAAUUUUGUUUGGUUGAUGAUGAUUGAAGCAGGGAGUUAUUUAUGAUAAAUAAGUUAUCUUACAUAGUCUAUUGAUUGAUGAUUGAAGCAGGGAGUUAUUUAUGAACUACUGAUAUGCUAAUCAGUUCUAAUAAAU